rnacentral:rRNA from 1 species
UACGUAGGGCGCAAGCGUUAUCCGGAAUUAUUGGGCGUAAAGAGCUCGUAGGCGGUUUGUCGCGUCGAAUGUGAAAUCCCGGGGCUCAACCCCGGGUCUGCAUUCGAUACGGGCAGACUAGAGUUCGGUAGGGGAGUCUGGAAUUCCUGGUGUAGCGGUGAAAUGCGCAGAUAUCAGGAGGAACACCGGUGGCGAAGGCGGGACUCUGGGCCGAUACUGACGCUGAGGAGCGAAAGCGUGGGGAGCGAACAGG